rnacentral:rRNA from 1 species
UGGGGAAUAUUGGACAAUGGGGGAAACCCUGAUCCAGCAAUGCCGCGUGUGCGAUGAAGGCCUGCGGGUUGUAAAGCACUUUCGGUGGGGAAGAAAUACUCAAAGAUAAUACCUUUGAGGGCUGACGUUACCCACAGAAGAAGCACCGGCAAACUCUGUGCCAGCAGCCGCGGUAAUACAGAGGGUGCAAGCGUUAAUCGGAGUUACUGGGCGUAAAGGGCGUGUAGGCUGGUAUUUAAGUCGAUUGUGAAAUCCCUGGGCUCAACCUAGGAAUUGCAUUCGAUACUGGAUGCCUAGAGUAUGGUAGAGGAAAGUAGAAUUCUCGGUGUAGUGGUUAAAUACGUAGAUAUCGAGAGGAAUAUCAGUGGCGAAGGCGACUUUCUGGGCCAAUACUGACGCUGAGGCGCGAAAGCGUGGGGAGCAAACAGG